UACAGAGGUCUCAAGCGUUGUUCGGAUUCAUUGGGCGUAAAGGGUGCGUAGGCGGCGCGGUAAGUCGGGUGUGAAAUCUCGGAGCUUAACUCCGAAACUGCAUUCGAUACUGCCGUGCUUGAGGACUGGAGAGGAGACUGGAAUUUACGGUGUAGCGUGAAAUGCGUAGAUAUCGUAAGGAAGACCAGUGGCGAAGGCGGGUCUCUGGACAGUUCCUGACGCUGAGGCACGAAGGUCAGGGGAGCAAACGGG
rnacentral:rRNA from 1 species